GAUGAACGCUGGCGGCGUGCCUAAUACAUGCAAGUCGAGCGAAUGGAUUAAGAGCUUGCUCUUAUGAAGUUAGCGGCGGACGGGUGAGUAACACGUGGGUAACCUGCCCAUAAGACUGGGAUAACUCCGGGAAACCGGGGCUAAUACCGGAUAACAUUUUGAACCGCAUGGUUCGAAAUUGAAAGGCGGCUUCGGCUGUCACUUAUGGAUGGACCCGCGUCGCAUUAGCUAGUUGGUGAGGUAACGGCUCACCAAGGCAACGAUGCGUAGCCGACCUGAGAGGGUGAUCGGCACCACUGGGACUGGGACACGGCCCGGACUCCUACGGGAGGCAGCAGUAGGGAAUCUUCCGCAAUGGACGAAAGUCUGACGGAGCAACGCCGCGUGAGUGAUGAAGGCUUUCGGGUCGUAAAACUCUGUUGUUAGGGAAGAACAAGUGCUAGUUGAAUAAGCUGGCACCUUGACGGUACCUAACCAGAAAGCCACGGCUAACUACGUGCCAGCCGCCGCUGUAA
rnacentral:rRNA from 1 species